rnacentral:rRNA from 1 species
UGUAAACGAUGUCGAUUUGGAGUUUGUCUAGAAUGGGCUCCGAAGCUAACGCGAUAAAUCGACCGCCUGGGGAGUACGGCCGCAAGGUUAAAACUCAAAUGAAUUGACGGGGGCCCGCACAAGCGGUGGAGCAUGUGGUUUAAUUCGAUGCAACGCGAAGAACCUUACCUGGUCUUGACAUCCAUAGAAUUCUGCAGAGAUGUGGGAGUGCCUUCGGGAACUAUGAGACAGGUGCUGCAUGGCUGUCGUCAGCUCGUGUUGUGAAAUGUUGGGUUAAGUCCCGCAACGAGCGCAACCCUUAUUCUUUGUUGCCAGCGAUUUGGUCGGGAACUCAAAGGAGACUGCCGUUGAUAAAGCGGAGGAAGGUGGGGACGACGUCAAGUCAUCAUGGCCCUUACGACCAGGGCUACACACGUGCUACAAUGGCGUAUACAAAGGGAAGCGAAGGUGCGAGCUGGAGCGGAUCUCAUAAAGUACGUCUAAGUUCGGAUUGGAGUCUGCAACUCGACUCCAUGAAGUCGGAAUCGCUAGUAAUCGUAGAUCAGAAUGCUACGGUGAAUACGUUCCCGGGCCUUGUACACACCGCCCGUCACACCAUGGGAGUGGGUUGCACCAGAAGUAGAUAGCUUAACCGCGAGGGGGGCGUUUACCACGGUGUGAUUCAUGGCUGGGGUGAAGUCGUAACAAGGUAACCAAGGGCGAAUUCCAG